AGAGUUUGAUCCUGGCUCAGAUUGAACGCUGGCGGCAUGCCUUACACAUGCAAGUCGAACGGCAGCGCGGGGCAACCUGGCGGCGAGUGGCGAACGGGUGAGUAAUAUAUCGGAACGUACCCUGGNAGUGGGGGAUAACGUAGCGAAAGUUACGCUAAUACCGCAUACGAUCUAAGGAUGAAAGUGGGGGAUCGCAAGACCUCAUGCUCCUGGAGCGGCCGAUAUCUGAUUAGCUAGUUGGUAGGGUAAAAGCCUACCAAGGCUUCGAUCAGUAGCUGGUCUGAGAGGACGACCAGCCACACUGGAACUGAGACACGGUCCAGACUCCUACGGGAGGCAGCAGUGGGGAAUUUUGGACAAUGGGCGCAAGCCUGAUCCAGCAAUGCCGCGUGAGUGAAGAAGGCCUUCGGGUUGUAAAGCUCUUUUGUCAGGGNAAGAAACGGUGAGAGCUAAUAUCUCUUGCUAAUGACGGUACCUGAAGAAUAAGCACCGGCUAACUACGUGCCAGCAGCCGCGGUAAUACGUAGGGUGCAAGCGUUAAUCGGAAUUACUGGGCGUAAAGCGUGCGCAGGCGGUUUUGUAAGUUUGUCGUGAAAGCCCCGGGCUCAACCUGGGAAUUGCGAUGAAGACUGCAAGGCUUGAAUCUGGCAGAGGGGGGUAGAAUUCCACGUGUAGCAGUGAAAUGCGUANAGAUGUGGAGGAACACCGAUGGCGGAGGCAGCCCCCUGG
rnacentral:rRNA from 1 species